AGGCAGCAGUGGGGGAAUAUUGCACAAUGGGCGCAAGCCUGAUGCAGCCAUGCCGCGUGUAUGAAGAAGGCCUUCGGGGUUGUAAAGUACUUUCAGCAGUGAGGAAGGGUAUCGUAGUUAAUAGCUGCGGUAUUUGACGUUUAGCUGCAGAAGAAGCACCGGCUAACUCCGUGCCAGCAGCCGCGGUAAUACGGAGGGUGCGAGCGUUAAUCGGAAUUACUGGGCGUAAAGCGCAUGCAGGUGGUUUGUUAAGUCAGAUGUGAAAGCCCGGGGCUCAACCUCGGAAUUGCAUUUGAAACUGGCAGACUAGAGUACUGUAGAGGGGGGUAGGAAUUUCAGGUGUAGCGGUGAAAUGCGUAGAGAUCUGAAGGAAUACCGGUGGCGAAGGCGGCCCCCUGGACAGAUACUGACACUCAGAUGCGAAAGCGUGGGGAGCAAACAGGAUUAGAUACCCUGGUAG
rnacentral:rRNA from 1 species